CCUGGACGUAGCUUACUUGUAUAACACAUCAAAUAUUUUGCCAUCGUCCACGUGAUAUUUUAUGGUCUGAAAUCUCACAUGAUUAACCAAUCAGAUUUGCGGAAAACA